rnacentral:rRNA from 1 species
GACGAACGCUGGCGGCGUGCCUAAUACAUGCAAGUAGAACGCUGAAGCUUGGUGCUUGCACCGAGCGGAUGAGUUGCGAACGGGUGAGUAACGCGUAGGUAACCUGCCUGGUAGCGGGGGAUAACUAUUGGAAACGAUAGCUAAUACCGCAUGAUAUUGAUUAUUGCAUGAUAGUCAAUUAAAAGGUGCAAUUGCAUCACUACCAGAUGGACCUGCGUUGUAUUAACUAGUUGGUGAGGUAACGGCUCACCAAGGCAACGAUACAUAGCCGACCUGAGAGGGUGAUCGGCCACACUGGGACUGAGACACGGCCCAGACUCCUACGGGAGGCAGCAGUAGGGAAUCUUCGGCAAUGGACGGAAGUCUGACCGAGCAACGCCGCGUGAGUGAAGAAGGUUUUCGGAUCGUAAAGCUCUGUUGUAAGAGAAGAACGAGUGUGAGAGUGGAAAGUUCACACUGUGACGGUAUCUUACCAGAAAGGGGCGGCUAACUACGUGCCAGCAGCCGCGGUAAUACGUAGGUCCCGAGCGUUGUCCGGAUUUAUUGGGCGUAAAGCGAGCGCAGGCGGCUAGAUAAGUCUGAAGUUAAAGGCUGUGGCUUAACCAUAGUACGCUUUGGAAACUGUUUAACUUGAGUGCAAGAGGGGAGAGUGGAAUUCCAUGUGUAGCGGUGAAAUGCGUAGAUAUAUGGAGGAACACCGGUGGCGAAAGCGGCUCUCUGGCUUGUAACUGACGCUGAGGCUCGAAAGCGUGGGGAGCAAACAGG